rnacentral:rRNA from 1 species
AAGGAAUAUUGGUCAAUGGUCGAAAGACUGAACCAGCCACGCCGCGUGCAGGAAGACGGUCCUCUGGAUUGUAAACUGCUUUUGCCGAGGGAUAAAAAGGGGCUAUAUGCCCACUUGAAGGUACUCGGUGAAUAAGCCACGGCUAACUACGUGCCAGCAGCCGCGGUAAUACGUAGGUGGCAAGCGUUGUCCGGAUUUAUUGGGUUUAAAGGGUGCGUAGGCGGUUAAUUAAGUCAGUCGUUAAAGGCAGCAGCUUAACUGUUGUAAGGCGAUUGAUACUGAUUGACUUGAAUUCGUUAGAGGUAGCUGGAAUACGUAGUGUAGAGGUGAAAUUCAUAGAUAUUACGUAGAACACCGAUUGCGGAGGCAUGUUACUAUAACGAGAUUGACGCUGAGGCACGAAAGCGUGGGUAGCAAAC